GUGGGGAAUCUUGCGCAAUGGGCGAAAGCCUGACGCAGCCAUGCCGCGUGAAUGAUGAAGGUCUUAGGAUUGUAAAAUUCUUUCACCGGGGACGAUAAUGACGGUACCCGGAGAAGAAGCUCCGGCUAACUUCGUGCCAGCAGCCGCGGUAAUACGAAGGGGGCUAGCGUUGCUCGGAAUUACUGGGCGUAAAGGGCGCGUAGGCGGACAGGUUAGUCAGAGGUGAAAGCCCAGGGCUCAACCUUGGAAUUGGCUUUGAUACUGGCUGUCUUGAGUUUGGGAGAGGUGAGUGGAACUCCGAGUGUAGAGGUGAAAUUCGUAGAUAUUCGGAAGAACACCAGUGGCGAAGGCGACUCACUGGCCCAAUACUGACGCUGAGGCGCGAAAGCGUGGGGAGCAAACAGGAUUAGAAACCCCAGUAGUCC
rnacentral:rRNA from 1 species